UCUUCGCUAGUAUAUCGGUUAGUAUAAUCGCCUCUCAAACGAGAGUUCCUCAGCCUAAUCAGCUGUAGUGAUCGCGAUAGAGCAGGGUUCGACUCCCUGGCGGAGAA
rnacentral:tRNA from 1 species